GACGUAGGGCGCGAGCGUUGUCCGGAUUUAUUGGGCGUAAAGAGCUCGUAGGCGGUUUGUCGCGUCUGCUGUGAAAGACCGGGGCUCAACUCCGGUUCUGCAGUGGGUACGGGCAGACUAGAGUGAUGUAGGGGAGACUGGAAUUCCUGGUGUAGCGGUGAAAUGCGCAGAUAUCAGGAGGAACACCGAUGGCGAAGGCAGGUCUCUGGGCAUUAACUGACGCUGAGGAGCGAAAAGCAUGGGGAGCGAACAGG
rnacentral:rRNA from 1 species